rnacentral:rRNA from 1 species
AUUGAACGCUGGCGGCAGGCCUAACACAUGCAAGUCGAACGAGUGGCGGACGGGUGCGUCAUGCUUGGGCAUCUAGCUUAUGUACGGGUCUAACUACUGGAACCUGUAUAUACUACCGCUUACCAUACUAUCGGCUGAAGGGGGCUUAGUUAUUUGGUGAGGUAUAGGCUCACCAAGCCGACGAUCCCUAGCUGGUCUGAGAGGAUGACCAGCCACACUGGGACCGAGACACGGCCCAGACUCCUACGGGAGGCAGCAGUGGGGAAUAUUGCGCAAUGGGGGCAACUCUGACGGAGCCAUGCCGCGUGAAUGAAGAAGGCCUUCGGGUUGUAAAGUUCUGUCGGUAGCGAGGCGUUAACUACAGAAAAAGCAACGGCUAACUCCGUGCCAGCCGCCGCGGUAAUUC